GACGAACGCUGGCGGCGUGCCUAAUACAUGCAAGUAGAACGCAGUUGCGGACGGGUGAGUCACGCGUAGGUGACGGCCUCAUAGCAGGGGAUAACUAUUGGAAACGAAAGCUAAUACCGCAUACUGUGAGAUGGACCUGCGGUGUAUUGGCUAGUUGGUGAGGUAAAGGCUCACCAAGGCGACGAUACAUAGCCGGCCUGGGAGGGUGAUCGGCCAAACUGGGAAUGCGAAACGGCCCAGACGCCUACGGGGGGGAGCAGUAGGGAAUCUUUGGCAAUGGGCGGAAGGCUGGACGAGCAAAGCCGGCUGAGGGAAGAAGGUUUUCGGGUCGGAAAACUCUGUUGUGAUGGGAGCGUUACCUACACAGAAAGGGACGGCUAACUACGUGCCAGCAGCCGCGGUAAUAC
rnacentral:rRNA from 1 species